rnacentral:lncRNA from 1 species
GCCCGCUUCACCCUCAUACCGAACGGGGUAUUGAGGUUUAAUGUCUUGGUUCUCAUACCGGACGAGGUAUGGGGACGACUCUGGAAUUAAGAUUGUUAAGGGGAAUGGUUCACGUGUAGCGAGGACACCCCUAUGGAUCCCCAUGAAUACUAGUAGGCUGGUAAAAAUGAGAAACGGUGAUAAUCAGUUAUUGUUAAUGAAUACGGAUUUAUGAUAUGUUUUAUGUUACUGAUUAUGCAUGAAAUUGUGAUAUGUAUGAUAUUACUGUUUCUGUAAUUUAU